rnacentral:ncRNA from 1 species
AUGUGAUAAAGGUAAACCCUGGGUGAUCAGGGGGCGCAAAGUAGUGGAUCUUUAAGCCUACACGGAAGUGGUUUAAAAAAAGCCGAUUGUGCAGGAAUAAAGACAGCCUUACUGCCAAA